ACAUCAUCACAGGUCCUUUACCUACUCCAGCAGCACAGCCUGGAGCCUGACUCCUCCCACACAGGAUCACCUUGGUAACGUAAUGUGACUCUGAGAUAGGUGGUGGUGAUAAGUGAGGUUCAGGUUCCUACAAUAUAGGAUCCGCUCAGCGUAUAUCUCCUAUAUAAGAUCAUUCUCCUGAUUGACCAUCAAGGAUGGAUAGGGAUGGGGACAAGAUGGCAGAGAGUAUAAUAAAUCUCACCCUAGAGAUCCUCCUCCGGCUUACUGGAGAGGAAUACACAGUAGUGAAGAAGACCUCUAGUGAGCAUUGUCAGGCCCCGGUAUCU